rnacentral:rRNA from 1 species
GAUGAACGCUGGCGGUAUGCUUAACACAUGCAAGUCGAACGGUCACUUCGGUGAUAGUGGCGGACGGGUGAGUAACGCGUGAGAAUCUGUCUUCAGGUCGGGGACAACAGUUAGAAAUGACUGCUAAUACCGGAUGUGCCUUUGGGUGAAAGAUUUAUUGCCUGAAAAAGAGCUCGCGUCAGAUUAGCUAGUAGGUGGUGUAAGAGACUACCUAGGCUCCGAUCUGUAGCUGGUCUGAGAGGACGAUCAGCCACACUGGAACUGAGACACGGUCCAGACUCCUACGGGAGGCAGCAGUGGGGAAUUUUCCGCAAUGGGCGAAAGCCUGACGGAGCAAUACCGCGUGAGGGACGAAGGCUUUUGGGUCGUAAACCUCUUUUCUCAAGGAAGAUGAUGACGGUACUUGAGGAAUAAGCAUCGGCUAACUCUG